rnacentral:rRNA from 1 species
CACGUAGGGCGCAAGCGUUGUCCGGAAUUAUUGGGCGUAAAGAGCUCGUAGGCGGACUGUCACGUCUGCUGUGAAAAGCUAGGGCUUAACCCUGGCCUUGCAGUGGAUACGGGCAGACUAGAGGUAGGUAGGGGAGAAUGGAAUUCCCGGUGUAGCGGUGAAAUGCGCAGAUAUCGGGAGGAACACCGGUGGCGAAGGCGGUUCUCUGGGCCUUACCUGACGCUGAGGAGCGCAAGCGUGGGGAGCGAACAGG